UACAGAGGGGGGCAAGCGUUGUUCGGAAUUACUGGGCGUAAAGGGCGCGUAGGCGGCCUGUUAAGUCGGACGUGAAAUCCCUCGGCUCAACCGGGGAACUGCGUCCGAACUGGCGGGCUUGAAUUCGGGAGAGGGAUGUGGAAUUCCAGGUGUAGCGGUGAAAUGCGUAGAUAUCUGGAGGAACACCGGUGGCGAAGGCG
rnacentral:rRNA from 1 species